AAAUCUUUUAGGUAAAUCUGGAUUUGCCAAAAACAUUCUUCCAUAAGCCACCAAAUCUGCAUCACCAGAUUCUAUAGCGCAAUUUCCUUCACUCCGAUCGUAACCUCCUGCAACAAUUAGGGUUCCUUUGAAGACAUUUCUAACCGGCGCCAAUGACCAAUCGGUAUCACACUUUUCAAAUUGCGUAACCAUUUUAGGAUCAAUCAUAUGAAGGUACAAAAUCCCUAAUUCAUUCAAUGAUUUAGCCAUGUAAUUAGCCAAUUGUUGAGGAUCAGAAUCUUCAGAAUCGUUGUAAUUAGCGAAAGGGGAUAAUCUCACACCAACUUUAUCGGCUCCGAUUUCAUGAGUUAUUGCAUCUAUAAUUUGAAGUGGAAAGCGACAACGAUUCUGCGCCGAGGGGGUGGGUAUUUAUCAACUGCAACGAGAUUGUUGAACACAUCUCUCCGGAGACGCUUGUUUGUGGAUGAUAUUGCGGCUCUACCUUCAGGCUGGAAUCAGAGAAAAACAAUAUCUGGGGAGAACAUGUUAGUAAAUACUACGAUUAAAAGAACAGCAAACAGAAAAAGUGGACCCGGCUGGAGCUGGACCAGUUGAAACGGAAAAUUAUGAUACAAAAAGGCACGAUUAGAUGUUAGAAUCAAGCACAAGUGAAACAAGGUUGUCUAAUGUUGGUUGUAAAACUCACCUUGUCGAGUAACUGAACAUUUGAUGAAUUGGUUGCCAUGAUCUGAACUCCGAGCAAAUUGUUGGAAUUACUGCAAAAGGGACAAAAAAUUGUGCUGAAAACACACCCAUCUUCUGGACACCAUAUACCCUGAUCCGGUGUAUUUUUAGAUAUUCUAUUGCAAAUACGUUGAUCAACAAAUGAAGAUUCUGUAACAAUAACUGGUACACUCUUUGCUGUAUCAGUGGUGUAAGUUUCCAGUCUCUUUUUCAAAAGGAAUCUCAAGUGAACUUUUGAUGAUGAAAUCAAAGAGCAUGGACAGUUAAUGAACAUGAACCAGGUAAACUGCUUGUUGGUAACCAAGGAGAUUGUGAGUUCAAAGUUCUCCCAAGACCACAUUCAGUUCCAUGAGUUGCUUCUCUAACUUCCACUGAGCUUUUUGUGCACCAUGUAGGAGUGCUGACACAAGAUGCAUCAUUGUUUUCUUCUUCUUCAAUGAGGUUUAUAAAUGUUACAUUCUUUUCAGGAGUGACUGUUAUUGACGUUUUACUUCCAGUAGUUGAAGACACUGGAAAACUUGACAAGCGAUCCAUUGCAAAUCGAGCAGAAGCCUCAAUUAUGGUGGAAUCUGAAUUGUCAUCCUUAGAGUAAUCGGAGCUGGCAGCAUCAUUGCCAGGGCUUUCCUUGACCAUGGAGGUUUCUUCAUGUGUAAUUGUCACAGACAAUGCCCCAGUGAACCUGUAUGAAAUCUAAAGCAUUUUAGUAGAUGAAAAGAUAACUUUUGUCCAGAUGCAGCUGAGAAUUAAGAUAUUAGUAGAAAGACCUAUAAUCAUAA